GUGUAAAACGGCCAUUGUGUUGUACUGUUUCUAUACAUCAGUGUGAAAUCAGCUGACAGAAACUAAACUAAACCAAACCAAACUCCAGUAUGAAGGUGGCCAUCUUGAUUGUUCUUAUAUCAAACAUUUCAGUUGUAUUUCCGGCAAUAGCACAGGUUGUUUACCUGGGAGGAAUAACCUACCUACUCCCUGAUGAAUGCCCGGAGCGUGAAGUUUUUCCGUCAGAGUCUGAUUAU